GCAAGUCGAGGGGCAGCAUGGUCUAGCUGCUAAGACUGAUGGCGACCGGCGCACGGGUGAGUAACGCGUAUCCAACCUUCCGCAUAGUAGGGAAUAGCCCGGCGAAAGUCGGAUUAAUGCCCUAUGUUUUCCGAUGAGGACAUCUGAGCUGGAACAAAGAUUUAUCGCUAUGCGAUGGGGAUGCGUCUGAUUAGCUUGUCGGCGGGGUAACGGCCCACCGAGGCGACGAUCAGUAGGGGUUCUGAGAGGAAGGUCCCCCACAUUGGUACUGAGACACGGACCAAACUCCUACGGGAGCAGCAGUGAGGAAUAUUGGUCAAUGGACGAGAGGUCUGAACCAGCCAAGUAGCGUGCAAGGAUGACUGCCCUAUGGGUUAGUAAACUGUCUUUUAUGCGGGAAUAAAGUGAGGUACGUGUACCUUUUUGUAUGUACCGCAUGAAUAAGGACCGGCUAAUUCCGUGCCAGCCGCUGC
rnacentral:rRNA from 1 species